rnacentral:rRNA from 1 species
GACGACGCUGGCGGCGUGGAUUAGGCAUGCAAGUCGAACGGUAUCAUCCUUCGGGGGUGAGAGAGUGGCGAACUGGUGAGUAACACGUAGGUUAUCUACCCUCAAGACGGGGGACAACCCCAGGGAAAACUUGGGCUAAUACCGGAUGUGAGCAACUUUUAGUUGUUUGAAAGGUGGCGUAAGCUGUCGCUUGGGGAUGAGCCUGCGUCCUAUUAGUUAGUUGGUGAGGUAACGGCUCACCUAGGCAAUGAUAGGUAGGCGGCCUUAACGGGUGGUCGCCCACACUGGGAUUGAGAUACGGCCCAGACUCCUACGGGAGGCAGCAGUCGAGAAUAGUCUACAAUGGUCGGAAGACUGAUAGUGCGACGCCGCGUGAACGAUGAAUCCCUUCGGGGUGUAAAGUUCUUUUUAUAUGUGAGCAGUGCUUCUUAUAUUAACAGUAUGGGGAGAGAGGUAUUAGCAUAUGAAUAAGCAACGGCUAACUCCGUG